rnacentral:rRNA from 1 species
GGUCAAGUUAUUAAGGGUGCAGGGCGGAUGCCUUGGCACUAGGAGCCGAUGAAGGACGUGAUAAGCUGCGAUAAGCUUCGGGGAGUUGCACGUAAACUUUGAUCCGAAGAUUUCCGAAUGAGGAAACUCACUUAGAGUAAUGUCUAAGUAUCAUUAAGUGAAUACAUAGCUUAAUGAGGGGAACUCAGGGAACUGAAACAUCUAAGUACCUGAAGGAAGAGAAAGAAAUUCGAUUCCGUAAGUAGCGGCGAGCGAACGCGGAUUAGCCCAAACCAAUAAAGUUUUCUUUAUUGGGGUUGCGGACAUAUCAUAACGAAGAGGUAUCGUAAUUGAAGAGGUUUGGAAAGACCCACCACAGAAGGUAAUAGUCCUGUAUGUUAAACGAGAAGACUUCAGAUAUGAUCCAGAGUACCACGGGACACGUGAAACCCUGUGGGAAGCAGGAGGGACCACCCUCCAAGGCUAAAUACUACCUAGUGACCGAUAGCGUAUAGUACCGUGAGGGAAAGGUGAAAAGAACCCCGGGAGGGGAGUGAAAUAGAACCUGAAACCCUGCACUUACAAGCUGUGGAAGCACAUUUCUUGUGUGACCGCGUACUUUUUGUAGAACGGGCCAACGAGUUACGUUAAGUAGCAAGGUUAAGCACUUAAGGUGCGGAGCCGUAGCGAAAGCGAGUUUUAACUGAGCGUUCAGUUACUUGACGUAGACCCGAAACCGGGCGACCUACCCAUGAGCAGGAUGAAGCGAAAGUAAAAUUUCGUGGAGGUCCGAACCCACGAGCGUUGAAAAGCUCGGGGAUGACUUGUGGGUAGCGGUGAAAUUCCAAUCGAGCCCGGAGAUAGCUGGUUCUCCCCGAAAUAGCUUUAGGGCUAGCCUCAAGGUGAGAGAUACGGAGGUAGAGCACUGAAUGUCCUAGGGGGUAUUGCACCUACCGAAGACUAUCAAACUCCGAAUGCCGUCAUCUUAUACUUGGGAGUCAGACUGUGGGUGAUAAGAUUCAUAGUCGAAAGGGCAACAGCCCAGAUCGUCAGCUAAGGUCCCUAAAUGUAAGUUAAGUGGUAAAGGAUGUGGGAUUGCACAGACAACCAGGAUGUUGGCUUAGAAGCAGCCACUCAUUCAAAGAGUGCGUAAUAGCUCACUGGUCGAGUGAUCCUGCGCCGAAGAUUUCCGGGGCUAAAACUUACUACCGAAGCUACGGCAUCAGUAAUGAUGGGUAGGGGAGCUUCCCAUACGGGUUGAAGCAUGACCGUAAGGACAUGUGGACAGUAUGGGAGUGAGAAUGUUGGCAUGAGUAGCGAGAUGUGGGUGAGAAUCCCACAGGCCGUAAACCCAAGGUUUCCAGGGGAAGGUUCGUCCGCCCUGGGUUAGUCGGGACCUAAGCUGAGGCCGAAAGGCGUAGGUGAUGGACAACAGGUUGAUAUUCCUGUACUACCGAUAACCGUUUGAGAGAAGGGAUGACACAGUAGGAUAAGCUAAGCACACUGUUGGUUAUGUGUGCCCAAGCAUUGAGGCGGUCAAAGUAGGCAAAUCCGCUUUGAUAAUGCUGGGAUGUGAUGGGGAGCGAAAUUUAGUAGCGAAGUAGCUGAUUUCACACUGUCAAGAAAAGUCUCUAUCGAGGUUAAAGGUACCCGUACCGCAAACCGACACAGGUGGGUGAGGAGAGUAUCCUAAGGCCAGCGAGAGAACUGUUGUUAAGGAACUCGGCAAAAUGACCCCGUAACUUAGGGAUAAGGGGUGCCACCAUCAGGUGGCCGCAGAGAAUAGGCCCAAGCGACUGUUUACCAAAAACAUAGGUUUCUGCUAAGUCGCAAGACGAUGUAUAGGAGCUGACGCCUGCCCGGUGCUGGAAGGUUAAGGGGAUCUGUUAGAGCAAUCGAAGCAGUGAACUUAAGCCCCAGUAAACGGCGGCCGUAACUAUAACGGUCCUAAGGUAGCGAAAUUCCUUGUCGGGUAAGUUCCGACCCGCACGAAAGGCGUAACGAUUUGGGCACUGUCUCAACAACAGACUCGGUGAAAUUGUAAUUCCGGUGAAGAUGCCGGAUACCUGCGACAGGACGGAAAGACCCCAUGGAGCUUUACUGUAGCUUGACAUUGGGUCUUGGUACUACAUGUACAGGAUAGGUGGGAGGCUUUGAAACCAGGACGCCAGUUUUGGCGGAGCCAUCCUUGGGAUACCACCCUUGUAGUACUGGGACUCUAACCAUAGGCCAUGAAUCUGGUCUUGGGACACUGUCAGGUGGGCAGUUUGACUGGGGCGGUCGCCUCCCAAAAGGUAACGGAGGCGCUCAAAGGUUCUCUCAGUACGGUCGGAAAUCGUACGUAGAGUGUAAAGGCAAAAGAGAGCUUGAUUGCAAGACAUACAGGUCGAGCAAGGAUGAAAAUCGGACUUAGUGAUCCGGUGGUUCUGCGUGGAAGGGCCAUCGCUCAACGGAUAAAAGCUACCCUGGGGAUAACAGGCUUAUCUCCCCCAAGAGUCCACAUCGACGGGGAGGUUUGGCACCUCGAUGUCGGCUCAUCACAUCCUGGGGCUGUAGUAGGUCCCAAGGGUUGGGCUGUUCGCCCAUUAAAGUGGUACGCGAGCUGGGUUCAGAACGUCGUGAGACAGUUCGGUCCCUAUCCGUCGCAGGCGU